rnacentral:lncRNA from 1 species
CUCACGUUAAAUUCACACUCUGCCUUAGUGGCUGGAUGCUCAUCAAAGGAGACACGCACAGCCCCGGGGGGCUCGAGGGCCCCUCCGUGAGUCGUCACGGGUUGACGGGUACAGACAAGUAUGACAAACCCUUUCCUGAGAGCCUGUUUGGACUGCAACGGGGAGAAGUACACAGUUGCAUAUUUUUAGUUGUGGGUCCCUCUAGCUGUGGCGUGUGGGACGCCACCUCAGCAUAGCCCGAUGAGCAGUGCCGUGUCCACGCCCAGGAUUCAAACCAGCAAAACCCUGGGCCACCGAAGCAGAGUGCGCGAACUUAACCACUCAGCCAUGGGACCAGCCCCUCAGAACAACUCAUUUCAUGCGUGAUAAAAUGGAAGCUCAGAGAAGUGAAGUAACUUGUCCAAGGUCAUGCAACUGGCAAGACCAAGCUUCCCACCAAUAAAGGCC